UUUUGCUAGAAAUAUGAUAACAUAUAUUUAUGUUAACCAUUAAAUUAAAAGUAAUAAAUUGUAACUUUUAUUGAUAAAAGUACUUUAUAAUGUUUAUAAUUUUCAUUUAAAUUAUUAAAAUUUAUUAUAUAAUUAAACGGGGCUAGUUAAUAGGCCAAACUAUAUUUAUAAAAAAUUGAAUAAAAAGUAUCAAAAUUGUAUUUUGAAUCCAAAAUGUUUAGCAAAGCCCGAAUUUUCUGAUAUGGUCGAAGCCCAGUCGAUUGUUUGGUUCAGUUUUCAAUAGAGUCCAGUUUUUUUUGCCAUGUUUCAAACAACUUUACAAUUUCUGAAAAAUUAGACUCAAAUGGCGAUUGAAGCAGAAGAAAUGGGAAUUCCACGAUUCGACAUUUUAGUGAUUACCUUAAUAUAUUUUCACGCAGAUGACCAGGCCAGCUUAAAAGACACAAGUCUUACCGUAGUUUUUUUUUUGACGAAAAGUCUUACCGUAGUUUUGUUAAAGUCUCCGUCUUUCUAUGCGGAAAUCUGAAAAUUUUUAUUUGAAUCCAAAGAGAAAAAAAAAGAAAACUUUUUCGUCAUCUCCAAGGUUUGCUCCUUUCCUGUAUUUUCUUCAUAGUUGAUAGAUAUAGUUGUCAACCAUGAUUCUACUUAACCAAUAUUAUUUUUGAUUUAUUUUGCAUGUCCUGUCCGAUGGCUUAAAAGAACCUGUUCAAGUAAGGUCGUUCGAUUUAGUAUUCAUCGGAGUAAUCUCUAAAGGUUUGUCUUCGAUUGCCAGUAAAUCGUUCAUACCUUUUUUUUAUCGAUCUUUUUUCUCUAGAAACUUAUUUAUACCAAAUUUUUAUUAUUUAACAUUUAGUUUGUAUAAUAUAUAAAUAGCUAAUAUAAAUAUCUUAGAUAAUUUAAAAUUUAGUAAUUAGUAAAAUUAAUCUUUGCUAUAAAUAUAUUAUCUAUAUAAGGACUUCAUCCGAUCAUUCAUGGUAAAUCCUCAGUUACAUCUGUUUAAUCUUAUUGAUCUGCCAUAGCUAUCUCGUUCUCUUUGAAAGUGUUUUUAUGAAGAUCAAACAUAAAUCACAUCUAACUUUUUUUUAAAUCUGUCUUGCAUGUUGGAUCCGAUCACUUUCUUGCUUAUUCCGAUGAGAUGGAAACUUGUUGCGAUGACUUCUUAGUAAAUAAUUUCUUCUUGAAAGUUUAAGCCGUACAAAUGAAUAUGGCCACCAAUACUCGAAAGAUUACAUAUGUAAGGAAAACAAAUAAGGAGAUUAGGAAUGGAACUGUAUCUAACAUAAAUCAGGUUUGUACGACUUUGGCUUGGAUAACACACGUUGUUUUCCAUGGCAUGAUCUUAUCAAGCUUGAUGCAAAUGGAAUACUUGGAGUUUACGAUAACAAAAAUUGAAGCUUCCAUAUGAACCCAAAUAUUCUAUACUGUGAGUUUAUCAUCGAUUGUAAUACAAAUGGAUGAAAUAUUGAUGUUAAUGUAUAGUUUUAACAUUGAAACCUGCAUAAUCCAAAAUUAGUGAGGAGACAACAAAUGAAUUUAAAUGUUCAAGAGUCAGUGUUGAUGGAACAUGAUCUAAAUUUCAGUAUACAAUUUUUUAAACAUAUACAUGAUCGAAAAAGUGUAUUUAACCUUCCUUGAUGGCUAAAAUCGAAGGAAUAACUUUGAUAUGUGUAUUCUAUGGUUAUCAAAAUUGUUAACGUGGUAUAGUGUUGGUGUAAAUACGUAGACAUGUUAAUUAAGUAAACUAAAAGAAAAAGGAUAAAAUAAAAUUUCUGUUGA